UACAGAGGGGGCAAGCGUUGUUCGGAAUUACUGGGCGUAAAGGGCGCGUAGGCGGCCUUCUAAGUCGAACGUGAAAUCCCCGGGCUCAACCCGGGAACUGCGUCCGAUACUGGAAGGCUUGAAUCCGGGAGAGGGAUGCGGAAUUCCAGGUGUAGCGGUGAAAUGCGUAGAUAUCUGGAGGAAUACCGGUGGCGAAGGCGGCAUCCUGGACCGACAUUGACGCUGAUGAGCGAAAGCUAGGGGAGCAAACGGG
rnacentral:rRNA from 1 species